rnacentral:sRNA from 1 species
GGGGUCUUGAGGAGGCACUGAUGAAUUCUUCCAGGAGUCAGGAAGGCUUCACUUGAAAAUGUAGAAGCUUGGCCUCCUAGGUGAAGAGAACAGAUGGAGUCCGCCUGCGUGACCAUCCAUGAGGCUCUGAAAACGGUGAUUGACUCCCAGACGCAUUACCGACUGCGGGAGGCCCAGGACCGGGCCCGAGCGGAAGACCUUAAUAGCCGAGUCUCUUACUGGUCUAUCGGCGAGACGAUUGCCCUGUUCGUGGUCAGCUUCAGUCAGGUGCUACUGUUGAAAAGCUUCUUCACAGAAAAACGACCCAUCAGCAGGGCAGUCCACUCCUAGCCCUGGUAUCCUGCUCUAGGGCCCCUCAUGCCCCAGGCUGGAGCAGCUCUCCUAGGUCACAGCCUGCUGGGCUGGGGCACGUAGCCCAGGGUGGAGGCAGAACAAUGUUGCUGUGGUAGCCCCUUGCCUUUCAUGCCCAUGCUUGAUUCUUGCACCUCAGCAGGUGAAGGUCUCAGAGACCGGUAAUCAGAAGGCAUCCGACUACAUGAAGUGUGCAGCGCUGAAAAGACGUUUACAACUAGGCUAGGGAUUAGCCACUAUGGGAGGGUGGGCAGGCAACGGUUCAGUGGCCUGGCUGGUAGCAGGAACUCCAAGUGCCCAGGCCUCUUGGGCAUCUUAGGGCCCUGCCUCUGUUUCAUGAUGCAUGAGUCAUUUGUCUUGGGUGUCCUAUCCCAUAUGGAGAAGAAAGGGGCUCUAAGUUCUGGCUCUUCUUUCCUUGGGGUUCUCUGUACCUGAGGAAACCAGGCCCUGGGUGACUUUGCAGAUCUGCUCACCCUCGGUGAGCAACAGUGUCAGCCAUGCAAGCAGGAUAGGAAGGUGACUGGGUGCCCUUGGUGAGCUGUGUAUUUCCUAGGAGGUAGAAAACUGUGGGAAACUGUGGCUAAUAA